rnacentral:rRNA from 1 species
UACAGAGGUCUCAAGCGUUGUUCGGAAUUACUGGGCGUAAAGGGCGCGUAGGCGGCCUUCUAAGUCGGACGUGAAAUCCCUCGGCUUAACCGAGGAACUGCGUCCGAUACUGAAAGGCUUGAAUCCGGGAGAGGGAUGUGGAAUUCCAGGUGUAGCGGUGAAAUGACGUAGAUAUCUGGAGGAACACCGGUGGCGAAGGCGGCAUCCUGGACCGGUAUUGACGCUGAGGCGCGAAAGCUAGGGGAGCAAACGGG